rnacentral:rRNA from 1 species
AAUCAAGCGCGAGAAGGGCGUUUGGUGGAUGCCUUGGCAGUAAGAGGCGAUGAAGGACGUGAUACUCUGCGAUAAGUCAUGGGGAGCUGAGAAUAGGCUUUGAUCCAUGAAUUUCCGAAUGGGGCAACCCACCUGAUAUUCAGUUAUUUUUAGCCGCAAGGUUAUGAAUAAUUGGGUAAAACAGGUACUUAAGACCUGAAUACAUAGGGUUUUAAGAGCAAACCCGGGGAACUGAAACAUCUAAGUACCCGGAGGAAAGGAAAUCAAUUGAUACUCCCCUAGUAGCGGCGAGCGAACGGGGAUCAGCCGAGACCGAUAAGUGACCAGAACGAUCUGGAAAGAUCGACCAUAGUGGGUGACAGUCCCGUAUGGGAAGCUUUGAGGUACGUAUUAAGUAGGGCGGGACACGUGAAAUCCUGUCUGAAGAUCGGGGGACCACCCUCGAAGGCUAAGUACUCCUUACUGACCGAUAGCGAACCAGUACCGUGAGGGAAAGGUGAAAAGCACCCCGACGAGGGGAGUGAAACAGUACCUGAAACCGAACGCCUACAAUCAGUCGGAGCUUGACUGGACUCUAAUGACAAUCUGGUCAUCAGUGUCCAGUCUUGUGACGGCGUACCUUUUGUAUAAUGGGUCAUCGACUUGGUCUAUCUAGCAAGCUUAAGCCGUUAGGUGUAGGCGCAGCGAAAGCGAGUCUUAAUAGGGCGUCGAGUUAGAUGGAUCAGACCCGAAACCGAGUGAUCUAGGCAUGACCAGGCUGAAGGUAAGGUAACACUUACUGGAGGGCCGAACCCACACCUGUUGAAAAAGGUCGGGAUGAGUUGUGCCUAGGGGUGAAAGGCCAAUCAAACUCGGAGAUAGCUGGUUCUCUGCGAAAUCUAUUUAGGUAGAGCGUCAUCCGAAUACCCCGGGGGGUAGAGCACUGGAUGGGUAAUGGGGCCCCACAGGCUUACUGAUCCUAACCAAACUCCGAAUACCCGGGAGUACUAGAUGGCAGACACACUGCGGAUGCUAACGUCCGUAGUGGAGAGGGAAACAACCCUGACCUACAGCUAAGGCCCCCAAUUCGUGGCUAAGUGGGAAAGCAGGUGGGACGACCAAAACAACCAGGAGGUUGGCUUAGAAGCAGCCAUCCUUUAAAGAUAGCGUAACAGCUCACUGGUCUAAAUAAGUUGUCCUGCGGCGAAGAUGUAACGGGGCUCAAGCCACGAGCCGAAGCUUAGGAUGCCGUAAGGCAUGGUAGCAGAGCGUAGUGUGACAUAGUACCAUUCCUCCUUAGUAUCUUCGGAUACAUUGGAGGAGAGGUGCUUUCUGUGAAGCCGGCCUGUGAGGGAUCCGGUGGAGAGAUCACUAGCGAGAAUGAUGACAUGAGUAGCGACAAACAGGGUGAGAGACCCUGUCGCCGAAAGUCCAAGGGUUCCUGCUUAAAGCUAAUCUGAGCAGGGUAAGCCGACCCCUAAGGCGAGGCCGAAAGGCGUAGUCGAUGGGAACCAGGUUAAUAUUCCUGGGCCAUGUGGUAGUGACGGAUCUCGAAGAUUGUUCCUCCUUAUCGGAUUGGAGGGGCCGUUUAGAGGUUCCUGGAAAUAGCUCCACUAUAAGAUCGUACCCUAAACCGACACAGGUGGACUGGUAGAGAAUACCAAGGCGCUUGAGAGAACGAUGUUGAAGGAACUCGGCAAAAUACCUCCGUAAGUUCGCGAGAAGGAGGCCCGGUUCCUAGGCAACUAGGGGCUGGGGGCACAAACCAGGGGGUGGCGACUGUUUACUAAAAACACAGGGCUCUGCGAAGUCGCAAGACGACGUAUAGGGUCUGACGCCUGCCCGGUGCCUGAAGGUUAAAAGGAGAGGUGAGAGCCUUGAAUUGAAGCCCAGGUAAACGGCGGCCGUAACUAUAACGGUCCUAAGGUAGCGAAAUUCCUUGUCGGGUAAGUUCCGACCUGCACGAAUGGCGUAACGACUUCCCCGCUGUCUCCAACAUCGACUCAGCGAAAUUGAAUUGCCUGUCAAGAUGCAGGCUUCCCGCGGUUAGACGGAAAGACCCCGUGCACCUUUACUAUAGCUUCGCACUGGCAUCAGGAUUGUGACGUGCAGGAUAGGUGGUAGGCUUUGAAGCAGGAACGCUAGUUCUUGUGGAGCCUCCCUUGAGAUACCACCCUUCGCACUCUUGAUGUCUAACCGCGGCCCGUUAUCCGGGUCCGGGACCCUGCGUGGUGGGUAGUUUGACUGGGGCGGUCGCCUCCUAAAGCGUAACGGAGGCGCGCGAAGGUUGGCUCAGAGCGGUCGGAAAUCGCUCGUUGAGUGCAAUGGCAGAAGCCAGCCUGACUGCAAGACUGACAAGUCGAGCAGAGUCGAAAGACGGCCAUAGUGAUCCGGUGGUCCCGAGUGGAAGGGCCAUCGCUCAACGGAUAAAAGGUACGCCGGGGAUAACAGGCUGAUACUGCCCAAGAGUCCAUAUCGACGGCAGUGUUUGGCACCUCGAUGUCGGCUCAUCUCAUCCUGGGGCUGGAGCAGGUCCCAAGGGUACGGCUGUUCGCCGUUUAAAGAGGUACGUGAGCUGGGUUUAGAACGUCGUGAGACAGUUCGGUCCCUAUCUGCCGUGGGUGUAGGAUACUUGAGAGGAGUUGCCCCUAGUACGAGAGGACCGGGGUGAACGAUCCACUGGUGGACCAGUUGUUAUGCCAAUAGCAGUGCUGGGUAGCUAUGAUCGGACAGGAUAACCGCUGAAGGCAUCUAAGCGGGAAGCCCCCCUCAAAACAAGGUAUCCCUGAGGGCCGUGGUAGACCACCACGUCGAUAGGCCGGAGAUGUAAGCGCAGUAAUGCGUUCAGUUGACCGGUACUAAUUGCCCGAUAGGCUUGAUUUG